rnacentral:sRNA from 2 species
CCGGAGGGAACGCCGAAUCCUGCCGCCCACCGGACUCCCAGUACUCACACAUUCGCGCUCGGCAGGAGCGGGGGAACCAGGUAAGUCGCCGGUCCGGGCAUCCGGAACGGCUUGGGGUGAAGUCGUGGGCGACCGCGGCCGGGCAUCUCCAGCCCGAACCCGACAGCUCACCUCGCAGGCGUCGGAGAGGAAACGC